rnacentral:rRNA from 1 species
CGCUGGCGGUGUGCUUCACACAUGCAAGUCGAACGAGGUAGCAAUACCUAGUGGCGGACGGGUGAGUAACGCGUGGGAAUCUGCCUUUAGAUGGGGGAUAACGGGUCGAAAGACUCGCUAAUACCGCAUAUGACGAAAGUUGAAAGGAGUAAUCCGUCUAAAGAUGAGCCCGCGUCCGAUUAGCUAGUUGGUAGAGUAAAAGCCUACCAAGGCGACGAUCGGUAGCUGGUCUGAGAGGAUGAUCAGCCACAAUGGGACUGAGACACGGCCCUUACUCCUACGGGAGGCAGCAGUGGGAAUUUUACGCAAUGGGCGAAAGCCUGACGUAGCGACACCGCGUGAGCGAAGAAGCCCCUUGGGGUGUAAAGCUCUGUCAGCUGGAACGAAAAAAAUGACGGUACCAGCAGAGGAAGCAUCGGCUAACUACGUG